CAGAAAAUGCUGGAUUAUCUGAAGGAGAAACGUGAAGUGGGGUUCUUCCAGAGCAUCCAAGCACUAAUGCAGACAUGCAGUGUGCUGGAUCUCAAUGCCUUUGAGCGACAAAACAAAGCCGAAGGACUGGGAAUGGUGACAGAAGAUGGAACGAUCAUCAGUCGUGAAAAUGGUAAAUAAUCUGUUUGCUUUGGUUCAGUUUAAUCUUUUUU